rnacentral:lncRNA from 1 species
AGAAUAUUGCUUGAUUUCUUUUCAUUUAUAUAGUACAAAAUCACUUUUUUUCAUGGGAUACCUAUUUACAUGUAUUAUAUGGGUAAGCAUGAACCACAAAUUCAAAUGUUCAACAAUCUAUGAAAAUUUUUUUUAGGGUUGUAUGCAGACUUUGGCAAAACAACGAAAUCAAAUAUCCAGGAAUAAUACAAUAUCCCUCAAUCCACCAAAACAAAUAUCCAGGAAUAAUACAAAUAUCCCUCAAUCCACCAAAACAAAUAUCCAGGAAUAAUACAAAUAUCCCUCAAUCCCCCAAAACAAAUAUCCAGGAAUAAUACAAAUAUCC